rnacentral:rRNA from 1 species
AAGCUCGUAGUUGAAUUUCGGGGUUAGUAGGUUGGUCAUGCCUCUGGUAUGUACUGGUCUCACUGAUUCCUCCUUCCUUAUGAACCGUAAUGCCAUUAAUUUGGUGUUGCGGGGAAUUUGGACUGUUACUUUGAAAAAAUUAAGAGUGUUUAAAGCAAGCUAACGCUUGAAUACAUUAGCAUGGAAUAAUGAAAUAGGACGUUCGAUCUUAUUUUGUUUGGUUUUCUUAGGAUUGUACGUAAUGAUAAUAGGGAGUAGUUGGG